rnacentral:rRNA from 1 species
ACAGCAGUCGCCGCGGGAAUACAGAGGGUGCAAGCGUUAAUCGGAAUUACUGGGCGUAAAGCGCGCGUAGGUUGUUUGUUAAGUUGGAUGUGAAAUCCCCGGGCUCAACCUGGGAACUGCAUCCAAAACUGGCAAGCUAGAGUAUGGUAGAGGGUGGUGGAAUUUCCUGUGUAGCGGUGAAAUGCGUAGAUAUAGGAAGGAACACCAGUGGCGAAGGCGACCACCUGGACUGAUACUGACACUGAGGUGCGAAAGCGUGGGGAGCAAACAGGAUUAGAUACCCCGGUAGUCCCUGUCUCUUAUAC